AUUGUAAACAUGGACUAUUCGGAAUGGAUUGAGACACAGAAAGCACGUUUGAGUGUUCACAUGUUCUGAAGAGCAUUCUGUUGAAAAAUCUUAUAUGUGAAUUGGUCUGCAGAUGACACUUCAGCAUUAAAACAAAAGAUAUC